rnacentral:lncRNA from 1 species
CCUUCUCCUGCUGUCUCCCUGGUACUCGAGCUACAGGCCUCAGAAGGAUAUGACCGAUUUGGAGAGGAAGUGAAACAUCUGGUGUCCAGAGGUUGGGUGAAGCUGGAUCUCUUUGAUAGUCACAACCGUGUCAUCACUGGGAAGUGGAAGGUUCCAGUUCGUGCUCCUCCAAUCAGACCUUCCAUGACCACGGGGGAACUCAACACUGUCCCUCAGUUGGACAGUGCUGAGCUGUACCUGAGGAUUGUGAAUUCCCGGGAUGCAGAGGUUCAGAGCUCCAUUCCCAUCAGCCACAGCAACGCAUGGCUCUACAAGUACCCUCCCCCAGUCUCCAUCAGGAAUCAACUGGCAUCUGGGGACUCUGUUCAAUCAUCUCGCUUCUCCCAAAUCCCACAUACCAACCCUCAGUUUCCAGCAUAUUUUGAGAGUGUGGACCAUUCUGCUCCCUCUAGGGCACCAAGGGAGCAGGAGUGACAUCUGCCAGACCCAUGGAACCAAACCCUAAUUUUUUACCUUCAACUUUAACUGUCCACAUUUUUAGUAAAAUCCAUUGCCCAUAAUGCUGUUUCAGCCAUUAAGAAUUUGAUGGAAUCUGCCUCUUAGAUUAUAACUUUUUAUUGUGUCAAAGAGGACAAAUAAGCAAUUGCAGUAAAUAUCAAGAAACAUAUCUGGCAUGAGCCAUGUUCAAUCUUAACAGUAAAUUUGUGAUAUUUUGAAGGCAUGCAAGCGGAAGGUGCUUUAUCCGAAUUUCCUUAUUUUGAAAGCAUUUUAAACUGAAAUAAAGGGCACA